rnacentral:rRNA from 1 species
AGAGUUUGAUCAUGGCUCAGAUUGAACGCUGGCGGCAGGCCUAACACAUGCAAGUCGAGCGGUAGCACAGAGAGCUUGCUCUCGGGUGACGAGCGGCGGACGGGUGAGUAAUGUCUGGGAAACUGCCUGAUGGAGGGGGAUAACUACUGGAAACGGUAGCUAAUACCGCAUAACGUCGCAAGACCAAAGUGGGGGACCUUCGGGCCUCAUGCCAUCAGAUGUGCCCAGAUGGGAUUAGCUUGUAGGUGGGGUAACGGCUCACCUAGGCGACGAUCCCUAGCUGGUCUGAGAGGAUGACCAGCCACACUGGAACUGAGACACGGUCCAGACUCCUACGGGAGGCAGCAGUGGGGAAUAUUGCACAAUGGGCGCAAGCCUGAUGCAGCCAUGCCGCGUGUGUGAAGAAGGCCUUCGGGUUGUAAAGCACUUUCAGCGGGGAGGAAGGCGUUAAGGUUAAUAACCUUGUCGAUUGACGUUACCCGCAGAAGAAGCACCGGCUAACUCCGUGCCAGCAGCCGCGGUAAUACGGAGGGUGCAAGCGUUAAUCGGAAUUACUGGGCGUAAAGCGCACGCAGGCGGUCUGUCAAGUCGGAUGUGAAAUCCCCGGGCUCAACCUGGGAACUGCAUUCGAAACUGGCAGGCUAGAGUCUUGUAGAGGGGGGUAGAAUUCCAGGUGUAGCGGUGAAAUGCGUAGAGAUCUGGAGGAAUACCGGUGGCGAAGGCGGCCCCCUGGACAAAGACUGACGCUCAGGUGCGAAAGCGUGGGGAGCAAACAGGAUUAGAUACCCUGGUAGUCCACGCCGUAAACGAUGUCGAUUUGGAGGUUGUGCCCUUGAGGCGUGGCUUCCGGAGCUAACGCGUUAAAUCGACCGCCUGGGGAGUACGGCCGCAAGGUUAAAACUCAAAUGAAUUGACGGGGGCCCGCACAAGCGGUGGAGCAUGUGGUUUAAUUCGAUGCAACGCGAAGAACCUUACCUGGUCUUGACAUCCACAGAACUUACCAGAGAUGGAUUGGUGCCUUCGGGAACUGUGAGACAGGUGCUGCAUGGCUGUCGUCAGCUCGUGUUGUGAAAUGUUGGGUUAAGUCCCGCAACGAGCGCAACCCUUAUCCUUUGUUGCCAGCGGUCCGGCCGGGAACUCAAAGGAGACUGCCAGUGAUAAACUGGAGGAAGGUGGGGAUGACGUCAAGUCAUCAUGGCCCUUACGACCAGGGCUACACACGUGCUACAAUGGCAUAUACAAAGAGAAGCGACCUCGCGAGAGCAAGCGGACCUCAUAAAGUAUGUCGUAGUCCGGAUUGGAGUCUGCAACUCGACUCCAUGAAGUCGGAAUCGCUAGUAAUCGUAGAUCAGAAUGCUACGGUGAAUACGUUCCCGGGCCUUGUACACACCGCCCGUCACACCAUGGGAGUGGGUUGCAAAAGAAGUAGGUAGCUUAACCUUCGGGAGGGCGCUUACCACUUUGUGAUUCAUGACUGGGGUGAAGUCGUAACAAGGUAACCGUAGGGGAACCUGCGGUUGGAUCACCU